GACUCUCAUCUGACACCCUUACAAUGCCACAUAAGACUGUGAUACAACACUACUUAAUGCUCACAACGUGGUGAGAGAUUCAAAUUGUCCUAUAGGCCAACCUCUGCCGUGUGUGUGCAAAUCCCCAGCAUCACAACAGGACGUGUGUCGCACCCUUGGCCUCUUUGGGGUCUGACUUCUCUGGUUUGAGGAAGAUGUGCAGUCUCAAAGAAAAUUAUACAGCUCCAGAGAAGCCAUUCUUGGAAUCAAGCAACUGCACCGGCUGGGAGAAACUUGCCUCAAGUUUGCAUACCUCAGAGAGGCUUGCAUCGAGCCCCCUUCAGCCUGGCAGGGCACUGCUUUACAUGCAGGGUGGUUCAGAGCCUGAUCCAUGCAUCAGGGCUAUCACUUUUUUGCUGUUUCCUUGGAGGAGAUGGAGAAUAUUUGCUGGGUAACAAAUGGUACCCAACAGCCAGACCCCUUCUGCUGCAACUGCAGGCAGCCUUAGAGCCAUCUGCUGCUGCACCAUAUCCCAGCAGCAAAGGUUCCUUUCAGACUGCCAACAGAAUACCCUCAAAAAUGUUCUCAGUUCCACUCCUUCCCUUUGCUGGACCCUGCUGGAUAAGGCAGAAGACAUUAUGAGCAUCAACCCACCUCUGAGUCUGCAAAGACUGAGCAGGACCAUGAAGCCCUGUUACUUGUGGAGGCAGAGCAGUGCUGGAGACAGCCUCACAUGCCCUCUUGGGAAGAAGAUGAGGAAGAGAGAUGGAGGCAAUCUGGAUUCACUCCUGCAUCUUCCUGGGCAUCUCUGA
rnacentral:lncRNA from 1 species